AGGGCCUACGGGGGGCAGCAGUGGGGGAUAUUGCACAAUGGGGGAAACCCUGAUGCAGCGACGCCGCGUGAGUGAAGAAGUAUUUCGGUAUGUAAAGCCCUAUCAGCAGGGAAGAACAAUGACGGUACCUGACUAAGAAGCACCGGCUAAAUACGUGCCAGCAGCCGCGGUAAUACGUAUGGUGCAAGCGUUAUCCGGAUUUACUGGGUGUAAAGGGAGCGCAGGCGGCGCGUUAAGCCUGGUGUGAAAGCCCGCGGCCCAGCCGCGGGACUGCAUUGGGAAAUGGCGCGCUGGAGUGCCGGAGG
rnacentral:rRNA from 1 species